CGGCCUGGCAGUCUAUGCAGAGUUUCCUGAAACGCUACCCUUAACUUACCUCGGAAUUAAACACUUGCAGCUUGAUAUCAAGCCGAAACCUGCCUUCCUGUGCUAGUCUCAAACUAACAAACCAAAAGUUCCAAGAACUCAGGAGAAACUCGAAAAUUUCUCUUGGUGAUUUUUGUUGGUCAAAUUUUCGAGUUUCUCCAAUCUUCUUGAAACUUUUAGUUUUUUUGAGCCGAGAUUUCAAGUUUCUCCAAUCUUAUUGAAACUCACCACAGGGGUAGCACGUGUCCAGACUAGCAUGGGAAAUCAGGUUUUAGCUUGAUAUCUCUUCAGAAAGCUGAGACAUGGACUUGCCACGUACAAUCUAUCCCAUUGUAAAAAAUACAGACUGUUUGUGGUCAGUGGAAUUCUGAGGGUUUAACACCUCUGGGUGCUUCGGGAGUAAGCGAGGAGCCACCUGAACAGGUUUAUUGGCAGAUUCGUUGACCAUUGUGUUGAAUUUCAAGAAGGUUAGCCAUGUGUUAGAAACUGCUACGGCUUGCAUCAUUUUAUCAGAAAAUAACACUCCAGAUGGAUGUGUUUUAAAGUUCGUCAAGGGGAUAAAAAGGCUACUUGUGGGCACGUAGGGGAUAAGGGGGACACAUAGACAGCUUGCGGUCACAGUUUUUGUAUUACCAGUGGACAGAAGCGCAAUUAGUGGUCACAUAGGCGGUGAGAGGGACUGAUGGGCUGUUUGUGGUGACACAGGUGAUCAUUGGGACAGACAGGGCCGGCGCGCAGGGGUCUAAGGAGGGCCUGCCACGUACCCCCUUUUAGACACCCCUUGAGACCCUGCCUUACGUGAUGGCCUAGGUGGAAUAAGACCCUUACACAAGAGGACAGAGUUCAUUCGGCGUGGCAGUCUACGCAGAGUUUCCUAAAAUCUCGUCUUUGGUGUUUCUCAGAAGAAAGCCACACAGGCUUGGAAUGUCACAGUUGUGGGUUAGGUUUAGGUCAAACAAUGACUGCUCUUUCAUUUCUGCAUCAACUUUACCUUUAGUGACUGUAUUAAUGCCUAUUGGCCGCAAAGCCUUGGAAGCGUUGAGUUCCUCCUGAACAGAAACCCACCUGAACAAUUUUGAAAAAGAGAUCCAGUGUUCCCGCCCAGUUUCGAACUGGGGACCUUUCGCGUGUAAG